CUUAGCGAGAGCGUUCGAGAAAGACUUGCGUUCCUCGUGGGUCUACUUAAUGAAGAAAAAGGUUGGAGGAAACAGCUGGAGGUGGAUCUGUCUGUAUCCAAGGCUGCUCUCAAAACAGAAAAAGAGGUCAUCCAAAGAGACCAUGAGGAGCUGAAUCUAGACCUUAAGAGACACAAUGCACUCCUAGACCAGGAGAAGAUCAAGCUGUGUGCGGAGCUGAAGCAGGCCCAGGCCAAAGUAGCCCAGCUGGAUGGGAGCGGAGCAGGACGAGUGGUAGAGCUGGAGAGACUCCAGCAGAGGGUCGGAGAUCUGGAGCCGGAGGUGGCCAGAAGCACUCAGAACCGAAAGACUAACAGCAGCUUGAUGGAGGAGCUUAAUUCAGAGAGAGCGCGUGUGAUCGCUGCUGACAAGAAGGUUGUAGAACUGCAGCAGCAACUGAAGAAUGCACUGCACCAGCUACGUCUAGAGGAGGCCAGAGCGGGAGAGACCAGCAAACUGGAGAGAGACACCAGAGACAUGUCUGAUAACCUGUCUGCCCUCAGAGCCCGACUGCAAGAGGAGCAACUACAGAGGAAACUACUUCAGCAGAAAGAUGAGAAACUCCAGCAGCAGGUGCACUCAUUGCAGGCGAAGGAGGCAACUCUGACACGCACUAACUCAGAGAUGUCUCACCGCACACAGGAGCUGGAGAGUGAACUUAACACAGCUAGAGAAGAGGUUUGUGGGGUGAAACUGAAUCUGACUUCUGCUGAAAUUAAAUGCUAA
rnacentral:lncRNA from 1 species